CCAGUUGACCGGGCGGCCGCUGCGCUUUUUUAAAGCGUGGAGGAAAGUCCGGGCUCCAUGAGAACACGGUGCCGGGUAACGCCCGGCGGGGGCGACCCCAGGGAAAGUGCCACAGAAAGCAAACCGCCCCGGUUCGCCGGGGUAAGGGUGAAAGGGUGCGGUAAGAGCGCACCGGGCUGCCGGUAACGGACGCCGCACGGUAAACCCCACCGGGAGCAAAACCGAAUAGGGACGAUGGGAGUUUCGGCUCCAGCCGAGUUCUCUCGGCCGGUCGUCCGGGUUGGUUGCAGGAGGGUCCUGGUAACAGGGCUCCCAGAUGAAUGGUCGCCAAGAGGGUUUUCCCUCGAACAGAACCCGGCUUACAGGUCAACUGGUGAU
rnacentral:RNase_P_RNA from 1 species